rnacentral:rRNA from 1 species
AGAGUUUGAUCCUGGCUCAGGACGAACGCUGGCGGCGUGCCUAAUACAUGCAAGUCGAGCGGACAGAUAAGGAGCUUGCUCCUUUGAAGUCAGCGGCGGACGGGUGAGUAACACGUGGGCAACCUGCCUAUAAGACUGGAAUAACUCCGGGAAACCGGGGCUAAUACCGGAUAGAUUCUUUCCUCUCAUGAGGAAAGAAGGAAAGAUGGUUUCGGCUAUCACUUAUAGAUGGGCCCGCGGCGCAUUAGCUAGUUGGUAAGGUAACGGCUUACCAAGGCGACGAUGCGUAGCCGACCUGAGAGGGUGAUCGGCCACACUGGGACUGAGACACGGCCCAGACUCCUACGGGAGGCAGCAGUAGGGAAUCUUCCGCAAUGGACGAAAGUCUGACGGAGCAACGCCGCGUGAACGAAGAAGGCCUUCGGGUCGUAAAGUUCUGUUGUUAGGGAAGAACAAGUACGAUAGUAACUGAUCGUACCUUGACGGUACCCAACCAGAAAGCCACGGCUAACUACGUGCCAGCAGCCGCGGUAAUACGUAGGUGGCAAGCGUUGUCCGGAAUUAUUGGGCGUAAAGCGCGCGCAGGUGGUUCCUUAAGUCUGAUGUGAAAGCCCACGGCUCAACCGUGGAAGGUCAUUGGAAACUGGGGAACUUGAGUACAGAAGAGGAAAGUGGAAUUCCAAGUGUAGCGGUGAAAUGC